CCCAUCUCGUUCUCCCUCCCCCGCCGCCACCAUCACCUUCUUCCUUCUCCCAGAUCCACUCCUUUCCGUCCUCCGCACACCCACCGCUCCGACGGUCUCUCCUUCGUCGACCCAAUCCCCACCUCGCAAUCCUAGUGGCAACCAUCACCCCUCCACACCAUCGUGUACCUUUCCGGCUAUCCCCUCCCCCUCCGAACUAUCUUCACGACGAUGGUUGAUCCGCAGCAUGUGCAGCUGAUAUGCCGAGUUUGACGGCGGCAACAACCCGAGUGAUGAGAUCCGCGUCUUGGGCGCGCACAGAUCCAGCAAGGGCUCAACCCCUGAUGUUGGCCUUGUCGGAGCGGAGAGCGACCGUGCGGUGUCCGGUCUAGGACAAUGGUUCACGGGAGGCCGUAGUGUACCCUAGCCGCCACUAGAUUCCGGUGUGGCUCCCGCCCCGUCUGUUGGCUUCCUCGACACCAUGGCAUCAUGCUGCUGCUUCGACCACAUGUCAGGUUCAUUUGCCUAAGCUGGUAGCCAUAACAGCCGUUCGUGGGCAAGGUGCGAAGCCUAAGGCUGGGUACCCAGUAGAGACAAAAGGCACAUGUUCGUCAACCGGCUGCACUGUGCUAUGUGGGCUUCUAUCAAGAUCUAAUUUUGUUUAAUUUUCUACCAAGAUCUAGUUCAGUUUAGAUUUUUCUGUCAGUUUGAUGUAUCUUUCGCGAAGUCAAUAAAAUUAAGUGUUUAUAAUGCA